GGAUGUUGGCUUAGAAGCAGCCAUCAUUUAAAGAAAGCGUAAUAGCUCACUAGUCGAGUCGGCCUGCGCGGAAGAUGUAACGGGGCUGAAAUAUAGCACCGAAGCUGCGGCAUCAGGCGUAUCACUAAUACGCCUUACGAUUAACAAGCUAGAAUGGCGCGAAGCGACAUGAAAGGUUGUUCAAGCAACCCGAACGUUGAGUCGGGCGUCUUAGAGUGAGGAUGAUUAGUGAUACGCCUGUUGGGUAGGGGAGCGUUGUGUAAGCGGAAGAAGGUUCAUCGAGAGGUGGGCUGGACGUAUCACAAGUGCGAAUGCUGACAUAAGUAACGAUAAAACGGGUGAAAAACCCGUUCGCCGGAAGACCAAGGGUUCCUGUCCAACGUUAAUCGGGGCAGGGUGAGUCGGCUCCUAAGGCGAGGCUGAAAAGCGUAGUCGAUGGGAAACAGGUUAAUAUUCCUGUACUUGGUAAAGCUGCGAUGUGGGGACGGAGUAGGUUAGGUUAUCGCACUGUUGGAUAUGUGCGUUUAAGUUGGUAGGUGGGAAGUUUAGGCAAAUCCGGACUUCCUUAACACAGAGAGAUGAUGACGAGGCUCUACGGAGCUGAAGUAACUGAUGCCACACUUCCAGGAAAAGCCACUAAGCGAAAGGCUUUACUAAACCGUACUGAAAACCGACACAGGUGGUCAGGUAGAGAAUACUCAGGCGCUUGAGAGAACUCGGGUGAAGGAACUAGGCAAAAUAGCACCGUAACUUCGGGAGAAGGUGCGCCGGCGUAGAUUGUAGUCCCUAGCGGGCGAAGGUUGAACCGGUCGAAGAUACCAGCUGGCUGCAACUGUUUAUUAAAAACACAGCACUCUGCAAACACGAAAGUGGACGUAUAGGGUGUGAUGCCUGCCCGGUGCUGGAAGGUUAAUUGAUGGUGUCAUCGCAAGAGAAGCACCUGAUCGAAGCCCCAGUAAACGGCGGCCGUAACUAUAACGGUCCUAAGGUAGCGAAAUUCCUUGUCGGGUAAGUUCCGACCUGC
rnacentral:rRNA from 1 species